GACGAACGCUGGCGGCGUGCUUAACACAUGCAAGUCGAACGGAAAGGCCCUGCUUUUGUGGGGUGCUCGAGUGGCGAACGGGUGAGUAACACGUGAGUAACCUGCCCUUGACUUUGGGAUAACUUCAGGAAACUGGGGCUAAUACCGGAUAGGAGCUCCUGCUGCAUGGUGGGGGUUGGAAAGUUUCGGCGGUUGGGGAUGGACUCGCGGCUUAUCAGCUUGUUGGUGGGGUAGUGGCUUACCAAGGCUUUGACGGGUAGCCGGCCUGAGAGGGUGACCGGCCACAUUGGGACUGAGAUACGGCCCAGACUCCUACGGGAGGCAGCAGUGGGGAAUAUUGCACAAUGGGCGGAAGCCUGAUGCAGCAACGCCGCGUGCGGGAUGACGGCCUUCGGGUUGUAAACCGCUUUCGCCUGUGACGAAGCGUGAGUGACGGUAAUGGGUAAAGAAGCACCGGCUAACUACGUGCCAGCAGCCGCGGUGAUACGUAGGGUGCGAGCGUUGUCCGGAUUUAUUGGGCGUAAAGGGCUCGUAGGUGGUUGAUCGCGUCGGAAGUGUAAUCUUGGGGCUUAACCCUGAGCGUGCUUUCGAUACGGGUUGACUUGAGGAAGGUAGGGGAGAAUGGAAUUCCUGGUGGAGCGGUGGAAUGCGCAGAUAUCAGGAGGAACACCAGUGGCGAAGGCGGUUCUCUGGGCCUUUCCUGACGCUGAGGAGCGAAAGCGUGGGGAGCGAACAGGCUUAGAUACCCUGGUAGUCCACGCUGUAAACGGUGGGUACUAGGUGUGGGGUCCAUUCCACGGGUUCCGUGCCGUAGCUAACGCUUUAAGUACCCCGCCUGGGGAGUACGGCCGCAAGGCUAAAACUCAAAGGAAUUGACGGGGCCCCGCACAAGCGGCGGAGCAUGCGGAUUAAUUCGAUGCAACGCGUAGAACCUUACCUGGGUUUGACAUGGAUCGGGAGUGCUCAGAGAUGGGUGUGCCUCUUUUGGGGUCGGUUCACAGGUGGUGCAUGGCUGUCGUCAGCUCGUGUCGUGAGAUGUUGGGUUAAGUCCCGCAACGAGCGCAACCCUUGUUCACUGUUGCCAGCACGUUAUGGUGGGGACUCAGUGGAGACCGCCGGGGUCAACUCGGAGGAAGGUGGGGAUGACGUCAAGUCAUCAUGCCCCUUAUGUCCAGGGCUUCACGCAUGCUACAAUGGCUGGUACAGAGAGUGGCGAGCCUGUGAGGGUGAGCGAAUCUCGGAAAGCCGGUCUCAGUUCGGAUUGGGGUCUGCAACUCGACCUCAUGAAGUCGGAGUCGCUAGUAAUCGCAGAUCAGCAACGCUGCGGUGAAUACAAUCCCGGGGCU
rnacentral:rRNA from 1 species